rnacentral:rRNA from 1 species
UGAGGAAUAUUGGUCAAUGGGCGCAGGCCUGAACCAGCCAAGUAGCGUGAAGGAUGACUGCCCUAUGGGUUGUAAACUUCUUUUAUAAAGGAAUAAAGUCGGGUAUGUAUACCCGUUUGCAUGUACUUUAUGAAUAAGGAUCGGCUAACUCCGUGCCAGCAGCCGCGGUAAUACGGAGGAUCCGAGCGUUAUCCGGAUUUAUUGGGUUUAAAGGGAGCGUAGAUGGAUGUUUAAGUCAGUUGUGAAAGUUUGCGGCUCAACCGUAAAAUUGCAGUUGAUACUGGAUAUCUUGAGUGCAGUUGAGGCAGGCGGAAUUCGUGGUGUAGCGGUGAAAUGCUUAGAUAUCACGAAGAACUCCGAUUGCGAAGGCAGCCUGCUAAGCUGCAACUGACAUUGAGGCUCGAAAGUGUGGGUAUCAAACAGG